rnacentral:rRNA from 1 species
UACGAAGGGGGCUAGCGUUGUUCGGAAUUACUGGGCGUAAAGCGCACGUAGGCGGAUUGCUAAGUCAGAGGUGAAAUCCUGGAGCUCAACUCCAGAACUGCCUUUGAUACUGGCGAUCUUGAGUCCGGAAGAGGUGAGUGGAACUCCUAGUGUAGAGGUGGAAUUCGUAGAUAUUAGGAAGAACACCAGUGGCGAAGGCGGCUCACUGGUCCGGUACUGACGCUGAGGUGCGAAAGCGUGGGGAGCAAACAGG